rnacentral:rRNA from 1 species
AGAUUGAACGCUGGCGGCAUGCUUUACACAUGCAAGUCGAACGGUAACAGGCCGCAAGGUGCUGACGAGUGGCGAACGGGUGAGUAAUGUAUCGGAACGUGCCCAGUCGUGGGGGAUAACGCAGCGAAAGCUGCGCUAAUACCGCAUACGAUCUAUGGAUGAAAGUCGGGGGACCUAAGGCCUCGCGCGGUUGGAGCGGCCGAUAUCAGUAUUAGGGUAGUUGGGUGGGUAAAGGCUCACCAAGCCAACGAUCUGUAGCUGGUCUGAGAGGACGACCAGCCACACCUGGGACUGAGACACGGCCCAGACCUCCGUACGGGAGCAGCAGUGGGGAAUUUUGGACAAGUGGGCGCAAGCCCUGACUCCAGCAAGUCGCCGCGUGACGAAGGAAGAACGGUCCUUUGGGUUACGUAAAC